rnacentral:rRNA from 1 species
UACAGAGGUCUCAAGCGUUGUUCGGAUUCAUUGGGCGUAAAGGGUGCGUAGGUGGCGCGCUAAGUCAGGUGUGAAAUCUCGGAGCUUAACUCCGAAACUGCAUUUGAUACUGGCGUGCUUGAGGACUGGAGAGGAGACUGGAAUUCACGGUGUAGCAGUGAAAUGCGUAGAUAUCGUGAGGAAGACCAGUGGCGAAGGCGGGUCUCUGGGCCUUACCUGACGCUGAGGCGCGAAAGCUAGGGGAGCGAACAGG